GACGAACGCUGGCGGCGUGCUUAACACAUGCAAGUCGAACGGAAAGGCCCUGCUUGCAGGGUACUCGAGUGGCGAACGGGUGAGUAACACGUGGGUGAUCUGCCCUGCACUUCGGGAUAAGCCUGGGAAACUGGGUCUAAUACCGGAUAGGAGCCAUUUUUAGUGUGAUGGUUGGAAAGUUUUUUCGGUGUAGGAUGAGCUCGCGGCCUAUCUGCUUGUUGGUGGGGUAAUGGCCUACCAAGGCGGCGACGGGUAGCCGGCCUGCGAGGGUGGACGGCCACAUUGGGACUGAGAUACGGCCCAGACUCCUACGGGAGGCAGCAGUGGGGAAUAUUGAACAAUGGGCGCAAGCCUGAUGCAGCGACGCCGCGUGGGGGAUGACGGCCUUCGGGUUGUAAACUCCUUUCGCUAGGGACGAAGCUUUUUGUGACGGUACCUAGAUAAGAAGCACCGGCUAACUACGUG
rnacentral:rRNA from 1 species